rnacentral:rRNA from 1 species
UACGAAGGGGGCAAGCGUUGUUCGGAAUUACUGGGCGUAAAGGGCGCGUAGGCGGUUCAUUAAGUUGGAUGUGAAAACUCUGGGCUUAACCCAGAGCCUGCAUUCAAAACUGAUGGGCUGGAGUUCUGGAGGGGAUAGCGGAAUUCCUGGUGUAGCGGUGAAAUGCGUAGAUAUCAGGAGGAACACCGGUGGCGAAGGCGGCUAUCUGGACAGAAACUGACGCUGAGGCGCGAAAGCUAGGGGAGCAAACAGG